GACGAACGCUGGCGGCGUGCUUAACACAUGCAAGUCGAACGAUGAAGCCGGAGCUUGCUCUGGUGAAUUAGUGGCGAACGGGUGAGUAACACGUGAGUAACCUGCCCUUGACUCUGGGAUAACUGCGGGAAACUGUAGCUAAUACCGGAUACGACCCUCGGAGGCAUCUCCUGGGGGUGGAAAGAAUUUCGGUCAAGGAUGGACUCGCGGCCUAUCAGCUAGUUGGUGAGGUAACGGCUCACCAAGGCGACGACGGGUAGCCGGCCUGAGAGGGUGACCGGCCACACUGGGACGGAGACACGGCCCAGACUCCUACGGGAGGCAGCAGUGGGGAAUAUUGCACAAUGGGCGCAAGCCUGAUGCAGCAACGCCGCGUGAGGGAUGACGGCCUUCGGGUUGUAAACCUCUUUUAGUAGGGAAGAAGCGAAAGUGACGGUACCUGCAGAAAAAGCACCGGCUAACUACGUGCCAGCAGCCGCCGUAA
rnacentral:rRNA from 1 species